rnacentral:rRNA from 1 species
GUGGGGAAUCUUGCGCAAUGGGCGAAAGCCUGACGCAGCCAUGCCGCGUGAAUGAUGAAGGUCUUAGGAUUGUAAAAUUCUUUCACCGGGGACGAUAAUGACGGUACCCGGAGAAGAAGCCCCGGCUAACUUCGUGCCAGCAGCCGCGGUAAUACGAAGGGGGCUAGCGUUGCUCGGAAUUACUGGGCGUAAAGGGCGCGUAGGCGGACAGUUUAGUCAGAGGUGAAAGCCCAGGGCUCAACCUUGGAAUUGCCUUUGAUACUGGCUGUCUUGAGUACGGGAGAGGUGAGUGGAACUCCGAGUGUAGAGGUGAAAUUCGUAGAUAUUCGGAAGAACACCAGUGGCGAAGGCAGCCUCCUGGGAUAACACUGACGCUCAGGCACGAAAGCGUGGGGAGCAAACAGGAUUAGAUACCCUGGUAGUCC